CUAGUUAGUGCUUCAAUACUGUAUUGAAAAUGACUGGUCAUAGUGGAUAACCUGUUCUUGACUGUACUGGGAUUUCUUUGAGUUUUUCUCCAUUUGGAAUGAAGCUGACUGAGAAAGGUCCCAGGGCUUGGCUUGACCCUGCUCCUAGGUGGUGAACUCAAACUCACAGUGCCCUUGAUAUGGACUUGUUGUGGGAGUUACUGAAUUCCAGAUACCAUGCUCCAUCUUCCCUGGGCAUUGAAUGAGGAUUCACAACAGCAAGUCUCUAGAGAUCUUGGCCUUCAGCCUCAGAUGUGUUUGCAUCAUUGGUCCCUUUGUUCCGAGGCUCCCAACUUCUUGGGCUGAAUAGCUAUGGCUUCAUCUUGCUUCCUGUAGAUGGCCAUUGGAGUAUUCAGGGUUCUCUAGAGCCUAGCUUCUUAAACUGUGGUUUAACAUUCCAUAUGGGCUCACAUAACUCAGGAGGGGGUCACAAAACAUUGACAAUGGUAAAAGUUUUC
rnacentral:lncRNA from 1 species